GCUUGACGGACUGCGGAGUUCUUCCUACACACUGGGAGAAGUACCUUACAGACAGGCUUUCCAGACCCACAGCAAGCCUAACCACCGUGGAACACAGAUGAUUGUAGCUCUCGUCUCUCACCAGAUAACUCUUCUGUGCAACAGAUGGACACCAUUCCAGAAAACCACCACUGGUCA